CUUCAGAGGAAAGCUUACAGAUUUUCUGAGAGACUAUGCAGCCAGGAAUAACACCCCAAGUCUUAUCACGGAACAGCUCCAGUGGAGAAACCGCUACUGCCACCUCUGGGCAGAGAUCCAGUCCUCGGCCACAGUUGAUCAAUUGCUGCCUCUGGAAUAGAAUGAACCUGCCAUCUCAGAAGCUCUACUUUCUUACUCUGAGCCUGGGCCCUCAAACUAAUAUUUGAGCACUGAGUACCUGACUGUGCCAAUCAUUCAAGAAGAGUCCAAGAUCCUUCCUGGGUGUGCAAUUCUUACCACCACCAAAGUUGAAGGGAAUGAUGUCAACUGCCCAAUCAUACUCCAAGUAGGAGACAGUGAUGGACUUUUAGCAAAGGCAAGAGAAUGGAAGCCACAAAAACUUUCACCUACUUUAGAAUCAAUGAAAGCCAAAGUCUACUAUGACCUUAGAAAAAGACUUAACUCUCCAUUCACUACCCAUCUUGUGCUGGCAGCUUUCUCCAUUUACAAUAUGGUAUAUUCAAGAAUACGUAAAUGCUUCAACCCUUGCCUACUUCCUGACUUAUGUGUUCACACAGAAUCCCUAAGACACCUCAGGUUACUUCUAUUAUUGCUGGCCUCUUUAUACCAGUGCUCCCUGCCUUAGCUACAAAUGCAAAAUCUGAAUAAAACUGUG